rnacentral:rRNA from 1 species
UACGAAGGGUGCAAGCGUUAAUCGGAAUUACUGGGCGUAAAGGGUGCGUAGGCGGUUAUUUAAGUCUGCCGUGAAAUCCCCGGGCUCAACCUGGGAAUGGCGGUGGAUACUGGAUAGCUAGAGUGUGUCAGAGGAUGGUGGAAUUCCCGGUGUAGCGGUGAAAUGCGUAGAGAAUCGGGAGGAACAUCAGUGGCGAAGGCGGCCAUCUGGGGACAACACUGACGCUGAAG